UUUUGGACAAUGGGCGAAAGCCUGAUCCAGCAAUGCCGCGUGCAGGAAGAAGGCCUUCGGGUUGUAAACUGCUUUUGUCCCGCCCCCCAAACGGUCUGCCCUAAUACGGCGGGCUAAUGACGGUACCGUAAGAAUAAGCACCGGCUAACUACGUGCCAGCAGCCGCGGUAAUACGUAGGGUGCGAGCGUUAAUCGGAAUUACUGGGCGUAAAGCGUGCGCAGGCGGUUAUGUAAGACAGUUGUGAAAUCCCCGGGCUCAACCUGGGAAUUGCAUCUGUGACUGCAUAGCUAGAGUACGGUAGAGGGGGAUGGAAUUCCGCGUGUAGCAGUGAAAUGCGUAGAUAUGCGGAGGAACACCGAUGGCGAAGGCAAUCCCCGGACCUGUACUGACGCUCAUGCACGAAA
rnacentral:rRNA from 1 species